UGCAGCCAUAGAAUUGAGGGAUACAACAACUGAUAGCAGUUCAAGGUACUCCACACAGACCCUGCUCUCUUUGUCCUCCUCCACCUCUCCUCCUUCUUCCUCCUCUACUCCUGAAACCUCCGAAAGUGAGGAGAAACCAGUCCUGUUUGUCGGCAGGGCACAAGGCUCCUCUGGGGGAAAGGCUAUUCUCAUCAUCACAACUUGUGCCCUUUUCCUGAUUGCAGUAAUCAUCCUGGCAUACUUAAAACUGCGGAACAGUCACACUGACGUGAAGCAGCAGCCGGAAGAAUACAUUGAGACCGAGGAGUGCACGAGUGUGAAGGUUAUAAAGGAAACACAGACAGCUGCUCAGGAAGAUGAGAGGAUAGAAGUGGACGACGAUACAAGUUAAACAUUCUUCCAAUAUGAGGUUCUACAGAUACAAUCUACAGAGAAGUUGUGAUUAGUAUUCAUUUUAAGAAAGAAGGUGUGCCUUUUGUUGUGUCUUGAAAGCAAUGUAACAUAAGGGUGGUAAAGUACAUUUAUUUUUGUAUAUUACAUGUUUUUUUUUAAAUAAUAUUUUCAGUUACAUGAUGCAAUUUGGCCACUAGAUGGCAGUGUUGGCGAUACAAUCUUUGUAAGGACGGAAUACUUUUUUACUGACACCAUUUGCUGCUUUGUUUAGUGUAAAUACAAUGGGGUUUUUUUCAAUUUAAAAUACUUUUGUAAAAGGCACGUUUCAUCACGAACAUAGAAUUCUCCCAGAUCACUAAAGAAAUGGACGUAUGUAGCCAUAACUCACUAAAACCUCAUUAAAACAAGCUAUUUUAUGGAGAAAC